UCCCUGGUGGCGAGCGGCGGACGGGUGAGUAAUGCAUAGGAAUCUGCCCGGUAGUGGGGGAUAACCUGGGGAAACCCAGGCUAAUACCGCAUACGCCCUACGGGGGAAAGCAGGGGCUCUUCGGACCUUGCGCUAUCGGAUGAGCCUAUGUCGGAUUAGCUGGUUGGUGAGGUAAUGGCUCACCAAGGCGACGAUCCGUAGCUGGUCUGAGAGGAUGAUCAGCCACAUCGGGACUGAGACACGGCCCGAACUCCUACGGGAGGCAGCAGUGGGGAAUAUUGGACAAUGGGCGCAAGCCUGAUCCAGCCAUGCCGCGUGUGUGAAGAAGGCCCUCGGGUUGUAAAGCACUUUCAGUGGGGAAGAAAGCCUUCCGGCUAAUACCCGGGAGGAAGGACAUCACCCACAGAAGAAGCACCGGCUAACUCCGUGCCAGCAGCCGCGGUAAUACGGAGGGUGCGAGCGUUAAUCGGAAUUACUGGGCGUAAAGCGCGCGUAGGUGGCUUGAUAAGCCGGUUGUGAAAGCCCCGGGCUCAACCUGGGAACGGCAUCCGGAACUGUCAGGCUAGAGUGCAGGAGAGGAAGGUAGAAUUCCCGGUGUAGCGGUGAAAUGCGUAGAGAUCGGGAGGAAUACCAGUGGCGAAGGCGGCCUUCUGGACUGACACUGACACUGAGGUGCGAAAGCGUGGGUAGCAAACAGGAUUAGAUACCCUGGUAGUCCACGCCGUAAACGAUGUCGACUAGCCGUUGGGUCCUUCGCGGACUUUGUGGCGCAGUUAACGCGAUAAGUCGACCGCCUGGGGAGUACGGCCGCAAGGUUAAAACUCAAAUGAAUUGACGGGGCCCGCACAAGCGGUGGAGCAUGUGGUUUAAUUCGAUGCAACGCGAGAACCUUACCUACCCUUGACAUCCUCGGAUCUGCCGGAGACGGCGGAGUGCCUUCGGGACCGAGU
rnacentral:rRNA from 1 species